UCGACAACUGAUCUGAUGUAAUACACAAAAUUGAAUGUAAAAAUAUUGAGCAUAAAUAACUUGUGCGCAGACCAACCCGUCACACAAUUGCCGAAAGGAAUCUGUGACGUACCCAUCCUUAUACAGAAGUCGGAAAUACAGAUACAGAUACAGAAUUCGUAAACGUUGUCGAAUUCGUGGAUUUCCCGGACUGGAUACAUAAACUGGAGAUGUUGUAGGGGAAAUGUUACAAAGUACACAGAACCUUUCCUGUCUAACAAUUCCAAGCCAUCUACCGGUUUCUAUAGGUUUCUGCAAGGUUGAAACAUGCCAGAACAUUCAACAUGUUGGAUGUGGGCAGUAUAAGGAAGAAGAAAAAUUAAUGGAUGUAAAUAAAAAGGUCCCUGAUAAAAAAAACCCAAGCAAAAUGAACAAAAAGAAACCAAGCAAACUGAACAAGACAAAAUGUGGUAUGAUUUUAGGGUUGAUUUUGAGUGCCUUUUGUUCACUGUCAAGUGCUACAAAACUAGAAGGAGACUGUUUACAGACAUCUGUAAGUGGGUUUGUUGAUAAUGGAGAUUUGAUCUUCCAUUGCAAAUGUAACUGUCAAUGCUUACAAAGCUGGAGAUGGAGUGGAGGUCCAAAUAAAGAGGAUAUGACCAAUAAUAGAUAUGUGCUACCAUCUUACAAAGACAAAAUCAGUAUAACUCAAAAUGCUCCAGGUGUACAUGAAUAUUCCAUCAUAUUGAAGGCAACAGAGACUGAUCUUUUUUCAUCAGACUUUACAUGUCAUAAUGGUUUUAAUUUUAAGCAAAUAAACAGAUCUGAGUUACUACAACACAUAUCUCCACCUAUCCAGUCUACAGUUACCUCAACCAUGUCAUCACCUGAACAAACAAAGACCUCAACCAUGUUAACACAUGAACAAACAAGGACCUCAACCAUAUCAACACUUAAACCACCAAAGACAAGUUAUAAUAGUAAACUGAAUGAUGAUGAAAUAGUAGGAAUAGUGGUUGGAUCUUUGAUAGUGGUAGCACUAGUAGUUGUAGUAGCUGUAUUCUUAGUUAAUAGGGAAUGCAAUCCACCAAAGAAGGAACAGAGAGAAGAACAAAUGCUGAUGAAUACAACGCCACAUGUGGAGCAGGAUCUGCUUACCCUUCCGGAGCACCCGAGAUCACCCCCAGUUUUUGGUGGGGUUCGUGUUGCUUAGUCUUUAGUUUUCUAUGUUGUGUCAUCUGUACUAUUAUUUGUCUGUUUGUCUUUUUAUUUUUGGCCAUGGCGUUUUCAGUUUGUUUUCGAUCUAUGAGUUUGACUGUCCCUCUGGUAUCUUUCAUCCGUCUUUUUUAAGAGUAAUAUUUGUAGUUCUAAGGAUGAUUGAUAGGACCUACAAGAACCAAUGUGAAUCCUGAUGGCAUUGAUUAUUGGUUUUGCCUUGUAAGUUAGUUGAAAUUUCAAAAUCAACAGGAAUUAUAGCUUGUACUAAAGUUUUGAUAGAGUUUAUGUUUGUUUUAAUGCACAUUAUGAAUUAUACUUAACAACAAAAGAAACACACCAUAUCCAUAGUGUAUAGUGAAAUGUAUUUUUUUAAGUUGAUUUACUUUAUUUUGUUAUGUUAUAAUAAUCAUGUUGUAAAGGCAUUAAUUGUCCAUUUCAUUCAUAGUUUUUGGACAUAUUCAUGAUAUCAGAUAGACCAGGCCUUACCCAGAAAUCUUUUUAUACAGGCAUUAACGUUUAUUUUUAAAUUCAUCAUAUUAAAAAAUAUUUUUUGGGUAUGGAUCGGCUCAUAUCUAAGAAUUGAUGAAACAUUCUGAAAAUAAGGCUUUUUUACAUUUUUUUUGCAGUUUUGAAUCAAAUCCAAGAAUUGAAUGCCUAUUUGUAAAACCAAAUUCAAUAAUACAAAUACUAGUGUACCACAGACUAAUUUUUUAUAUAUGAUCAUAAGAAUGUUGUUAUUUGGUAGAUUUACAACACAUUUUAGUGUUCUAAAGAAUUUAAGCUGCCAAAAAAGUGGCUGUAUCAUUGCUUCUCCUUUAAAAUGAAAUGUUAGCUUAAUUAGAUUUAUAUGUGUAAUCAUGUUAGGAAAAAUAUUGAAUGUUAACUAAUAAGAGCUUUUUCCAUGUUGAAAUUGAAAUGCCCAUUAACAUUCAUGUUAAGGGGCAAUCAGUCAUUAGAUAAGGUCCAAGUCCUGAACUUGCUUUAUCUUUUGAACUUAUCAAAUUAAAGUUUAUUUGAACAUUGCAAAUUGGUCUUUGUAGGUGAAAAAACUACAUGCAUGUUCAAUCUUUUCUAACAAUUUGAAGUAGCGAAUUAAAAGUAAAAUGAAUAAAGUUGACCUGGAACUAUUUAUGCUACCUUUAACUAGUAAUUUCAUAAAUAAAUUUCAUGCUCACUUUUCAAAAUUUAUGUAAAUUUGCUGUUAAAAUAGAAGGAAAUUCAGCAUUGACUUCUACUUGUUCAUCACUGUGCUAUGAAUUUAUUGAACCUUAAACUGCCAAGAGCAUUUUCCAUGUGCAAGUAUUCAGUAAUUACAAGUCAAGCCUGUACUGUCUCAGCGUUGUUGCAUUAGUGAUUAUUUUUGCUUCUGUUUUUAAGAUCUUUUACCUAUUUUAUAUUUUUAUACCGGAACAAUUGUAAUCAUGUAAUAUAAAAAAUGAAGUGCCUCAGUUACAACACAUAUCAUUUAAAUAUUAAUUUGGUCUUUAAUUAAUUUUCAAUGAAAUCAAGAAUAAUAUAUAAACUGAUCUUAAAAUUAAUAUAUUAUAA